rnacentral:lncRNA from 1 species
GAAAAAUUAAAAAUCGGAGGUCAAAACAUAAUUUAAAAAAAUUGCGCCCCAUCAACUGCCCAGUCAGCAGUCCCGGCUAACCAGGACGCGCCGCGUGGCAGAGACGCUGACGCGGGAGGCCACACUGGAGGAAGACACGUGGGCGAUCUGCGUGUGCUUGAUCGAACGGCUGAGAUCCGUUCCCGUACGCAUGGACGACCCAGAUUGAAUCGCGCACGGACGACCCA